rnacentral:rRNA from 1 species
UACGUAGGGGGCUAGCGUUGUCCGGAAUCAUUGGGCGUAAAGCGCGUGUAGGCGGUCCGGUAAGUCCGCUGUGAAAGUCGAGGGCUCAACCCUCGAAUGCCGGUGGAUACUGUCGGGCUUGAGGUUGGGAGAGGGAUGCGGAAUUCCAGGUGUAGCGGUGAAAUGCGUAGAUAUCUGGAGGAACACCGGUGGCGAAGGCGGCAUCCUGGACCAAUUCUGACGCUGAGUGAGCGAAAGCCAGGGGAGCAAACGGG